AUGGUAGGAGCCAGCCUUCUGGUCUCUGAAAAAGUAGAACAGAUUUGGAAAACAGAAGAGAAAAACUCUUGGGUUGUUCUGAGGCUGCCAGUGUCAUAUUCUGCCAUCACUGCAGUAGCCACAUCCGUGUUUCAUGGUCCACCCAGGUGCCAUCUUCAUUAUGCCCUCAUACCUCAUGGGAAAGGAGGGCGUUCCUCGGUCAGUGGCAUUGUGGCAACUGUGUUUGGAGCAACAGGAUUCCUGGGUCGAUAUGUUGUCAACUACCUUGGACGUAUGGGAUCACAAGUGAUCAUCCCCUAUCGGUGUGAUCCAUAUGACGUCAUGCACCUUCGUCCCAUGGGUGACCUGGGCCAGCUUAUCUUUCUGGAAUGGAAUGGAAGAGAUAAAGAUUCUAUCCGACGAGCAGUGGAGCACAGCAAUGUGGUCAUCAAUCUUAUUGGACGAGACUGGGAAACCAAGAACUUUGAUUUUGAAGAUGUUUUUGUGAAGAUUCCCCAAGCCAUUGCUUCCAAGGAAGCUGGGGUUGAAAAGUUCAUUCAUGUUUCCCAUUUGAAUGCUAAUAUUAGAAGCUCUUCUAGGUAUUUGAGAAAUAAGGCUGUUGGAGAGAAAGAAGUGAGAGAUGCAUUUCCAGAAGCCAUUAUCAUAAAGCCAUCUGACAUCUUUGGAAGAGAAGAUAGAUUCCUCAAUCAUUUUGCAAAUAUCCAUUCCUUUAUUGGUGUACCUCUUAUUUCCUUGGGCCGGAAGGCACAGAAACAACCAGUAUAUGUUGUAGAUGUAUCAAAAGGAAUUGUUAAUGCAGUUAAGGAUCCAGAUACCAAAGGGAAAAGCUUUGCUUUCUUUGGGCCAAAUCAGUACGUCCUUGUUGACUUGGUGCAGUAUGUCUUUGCUGGGGCUCACAGGCCGUUCCUCCCGUACCCUUUGCCACGGUUUGCCUCAAUGGAUAGCAAGAUUCUUUGAAAUGAGCCCAUUUGAGCCUUGGACAACGAGGGACAAAGUGGAGCAGAGUCACAUCUCAGACAUGGUAUUACCUCACCUGCCUGGCUUAGAAGACCUUGGUAUUCAGGCAAUACCACUGGAACUCAAGGCCAUCAAGGUGCUGCGGCGUCAUCGCACUUACCGCUGGUUGUCUUCUGAAAUUGAGGAUGUGAAGCCACCCAGGACCAUCAACAUCUAGUACCCCCUGAGCACUUGGCAUUGGUGUCAUUUGGGUUACCUGGCCAGUGGCCAGCCUAUAUUCUUUAGAAAG